GGCCUCCUUCAUCAAGAUCUCCACUGUCGGAGUCUCCUCUAUCAAGAUCUUCCUCACCGAAAUCUCUUUCGGUAAGGCUUCCGUCACAACCUUCGAAGGGGGGGACCAUGGAUUCAACAACUGAAGGGGGAUUCACCUCCUUCACAACCACAGAAGUUGAUUCGAUGGUCGGAGCCCCAAUAUCGCCAUCCGUCGGAGCC
rnacentral:lncRNA from 1 species